rnacentral:rRNA from 1 species
CGGGAGGCAGCAGUAAGGAAUAUUGCGCAAUGGGCGAAAGCYUGACGCAGCGACGCCGCGUGGSGGAUGAAGGUCUUCGGAUUGUAAACCCCUUUCGGGAGGGAAGAUGGAAUGGGGUAACCCAUUCGGACGGUACCCCCAGAAGCAGCCACGGCUAAYUUCGUGCCAGCAGCCGCGGUAAUACGAAGGUGGCAAGCGUUAUUCGGAUUUACUGGGCGUACAGGGAGCGUAGGCGGUUCGGUAAGCCCUCUGUGAAAUCUCCAGGCUUAACCUGGAAAAGUCGGGGGGGACUGCUGGGCUAGAGGACGGGAGAGGAGCGCGGAAUUCCCGGKGUAGCGGUGAAAUGSGUAGAGAUCGGGAGGAAGGCCGGUGGCGAAGGCGGCGCUYUGGAACGUUUCUGACGCUGAGSCUCGAAASCGKGGGGAGCAAACAGGAUUAGAUACCCUGGUAGUCCACGCCUUAAACUAUGAAUACUAAGUGUCGGCGGUUUACCGCCGGUGCSGCAGCUAACGCAUUAAGUAUUCCGCCUGGRAARCACGGCCGCAAGGUUGAAACUCAAAUGAAUUGACGGAA